ACGGAUUGUACUCGUAGCUUGCUAUGAGUACAAUUAGUGGCAGACGGGUGAGUAAUGCAUAGGAAUCUGCCUAGUAGUAUAGGAUAGCCACUAGAAAUGGUGGGUAAUACUGUAUAAUCCCUGCGGGGGAAAGAUUUAUCGCUACAUGAUGAGCCUAUGUUAGAUUAGCUAGUUGGUGGGGUAAUGGCCUACCAAGGCAUUGAUCUAUAGCUGGUCUGAGAGGAUGAUCAGCCACACUGGAACUGAGACACGGUCCAGACUCCUACGGGAGGCAGCAGUGGGGAAUAUUGGACAAUGGGCGCAAGCCUGAUCCAGCUAUGCCGCGUGAGUGAGGAAGGCCUUAGGGUUGUAAAACUCUUUCAGUGGGGAAGAUAAUGACGGUACCCAC
rnacentral:rRNA from 1 species